GUCGAUCUGCUCCAUGAAUUUUAUAUUUAAAUAGCUGCAGUAUAUUGACUGUACAAAGGUAGCAUAAUAAAUUGUCUUUUAAUUGAAGAAUUGAAUGAAUGGAUUAAUGAAAUAAUAACUGUCUCUAAAUUAUUUAAUGAAUUUAGAUUUUUAGUAAAAAUUCUAAAAUUUAAUUAUGGGACGAUAAGACCCUAUAGAAUUUUAUUUAAUUUAUUAUUUAUAUAAAUAUUAAUAUGUAAAUAAUAGUUUAAAUUUGAUUGGGAGGAUUAAUAAAUUUAAUAAACUUUAUUUAAUAAUUAAUUUUGAUUUAAAGAUAUAUUUUGAUUUAUAAAUUAUAAUUAUAAGAAUAAAUUACCUUAGGGAUAACAGCGUAAUAUCUUUUGAUAGACCGUAUAGAUAAAGAUGAUUGCGACCUCGAUGUUGAAUUAAGAUUAAAGUUAAACGCAGAAGUUAAAAUUUUGAGUCUG
rnacentral:rRNA from 1 species